UCUUUAUUUAAAGGGUCAGAUUUACGUCAAUGAUUCGGGUCUACUAUAAGCACGUGAACUGCCAUGUGCCGCGCUCCAGUGUGGGCCCCACCAUAUGAGAACCCGUUGUGGCGACAGCCAAUGAUCCAAGCAAAAGGACAAAGAUGAUGAUGCUCCCUGCUGCAGAAAGCUGAUACAGGGCACGUGGUACCGCUACCCCUCCC
rnacentral:lncRNA from 1 species